GCGACCCCAGGAUGGGCGAGGCCACCCGCCGAGUUUAAGCAUAUCAAUAAGCGGAGGAG
rnacentral:rRNA from 1 species